rnacentral:rRNA from 1 species
UACGUAGGGGGCUAGCGUUGUUCGGAAUUACUGGGUGUAAAGGGUUCGUAGGCGGUGCGGCAAGUUGGGAGUGAAAUCUCUGGGCUUAACCCAGAGGCUGCUUCCGAAACUGCUGUGCUUGAGUGUGGGAGAGGCGCGUGGAAUUGCAGGUGUAGCGGUGAAAUGCGUAGAUAUCUGCAGGAACACCCGUGGCGAAAGCGGCGCGCUGGACCACUACUGACGCUGAGGAACGAAAGCUAGGGGAGCAAACAGG